UAACAUGAUCUCACUUUCCCGCGCCUUCAUUGAAGAAGGACCAAAGGACUCGUGUGACGCAUUUCAUCCGCGCCAGGAGGAGCGGUAACGUCGAGGAAAACAAAUAGUCCAGUUCUGUUCAUCUGUCUUUUUAUUGUAUUCCCGCAUAUUUGCUUGAAUUUCUUCAUCAGGACAGAUUUCACGGCGAAUAACACUUAGUAUGGCGUUAAAAUCUGGAGAGGAGCGCCUGAAGGAGAUGGAGGCUGAGAUGGCGCUGUUUGAGCAGGAGGUGUUAGGAGGACCUGUGGCACCUACAGUGGUUGAAGCUGUGCCAGUCGCUCUGGCAAUGCCAGCCGU